ACAGCCGCCCUCGGAAAGUGCAAAAGCAGCCACGAGACAGAUCCAGGCUUUGUUGCUAAUUUCCCAGGGUGAAAAUUGACAAGCCUGGGAGUGCAGUCAGCACAACCCAUUGCAUAUGCUACUGACAAACGCUGGGGACAUCCCCUCCCACCCAUGCCUAUCACACAGAGAAUGUGACCUCUGCAGGACUGGACUCUGGAAGGACCCUACCUCCAGGACUCGCCCACAAGAAGAACUGCAAAAGAGCUCCAAAGGAGAAGGAAAAAAAAUCAUCAGAAAAACCCCCGUGCAGAUGAAGAGGCUUGAUGCUUAAUGCACACAGAUGUGAUCGCCAGUGGUCGCCGACAAUGAAAUAUACAAGUGCACACAAAGUGAUCCGGUGAACAAGAGGUGGAAUUUAAUCAUCUUCUGCUGACACUUUGUGAAAAACACCAUUAACCCUCAGCAAACCCCUGUUUUCCUGGCUCCCUGUAACCCCUAAAGUCUCAGCCCCUCCUCCCAAGGAGAAAAAGUGAAAGAAGAAUUUGUGGUUUUGUUUACUCAGCCAAGCUAAAGGUUGGAUCCAGCCAGAUGAAAACUUUAAGGAACAAUGAAGGAGAGAGGUGCCGCUCUGAACCGGGACUAAGGUGCAGAACUGGAGUGAGCUGUUCUCCAACUCCUGAAUUUGAACCCUGGACUGAAUAAAAGCUUUAAGACCACAAGACAAACACAAAGUUUAUAGCCAACUCGUUUUUCAAGUGUAGUGUCUCUGCUACAGUCCUUGCUACUCUCUCCUUGGGAAGGUGCCUUCCAAGGUUCACCGUGGCUCCUCUGUACAUGUCCCUAUUCAGGAGGGCCUGGACUCUUCUUCAAUUUUCUGGUAUGGAAGACAUAUGUGGUAUCAAUUAUUCCAGGACCCAGAUCACUUCUUUCCUUUUAAAAUGCCACCAAGCAUCCUAAGAAAGUGUGAUGGUGUUUGGUGUUUGGAGGGUUUUAAAAUUGGGCACUUUGAAGCUAGCAGGCAGCACUGGCUCUACACACUGUUUUAAGUAGCUUUUCCAUGCUCAGGUGCUACUCCCCCACUAACUCCCCAAACUGCUUCCACAUUCUCCCGCUCCUGCCCUCUGCAUGCUUUACCAAUGUGCACAUAGCUGUUCUUGGGCAUAGAUGGUGCAUGCUAGGGGGAUUGUUUGAAAGGGUAAUUAAUAGGCAUAAGAUCCUGUCCUCAUCUGAUAUAUUUUAUAACUUAUUUUUUAUCAAAAAUGAAUUUCAAAUAUUCUGUUGCCAUCUCAGACAUACCAGCAUACAGCCUAAAAAUAGGUACAGUCACCAGAGCUAUGGUGACGGAUCAAACAAAUCUAUCUGCCAUCAAACUCAUGUUCUUGACUUGGGAAUCUCUCUGUGAAACACAGGGCAUUUCUGAGGAAAGCAAAGCCUGGUGACUGAAUGAAACCUUAGAUUUAUCCCCCUAAGGACAGAAUAGUUUUACAGUCAUGCUUUAAUUUUCCUUUGUAUUUUAUACCUUUGACAUUUCGUGGACAAAUGUAAGGAGCAGCAAGGCUGUUGACAGGCCUGGGGAUGACGAAGGAAGGACUAAGCGUUUUCUUCAUUCAAACAAGGCAGAAAGUGAAACCACGUAGUCUAAUGGUCAGUGUCUCAAUAAGAUGAGAAUAAACAGAAAGAGGCUCCGUGUCUUAUUUAUAUUUUAUCAGAGGUUAUUGCUGUAGAACCGUGAAGCACAAUAAAUAGCAUUCUGUUAGCAGCCAUUUGAAAGAAAAUGUUCAUCACUUUCAAAUAAAAUUACUUCCCUC
ensembl:antisense A830011K09Rik RIKEN cDNA A830011K09 gene